UUGAGAGCAGUUCCCCCCUCCCCAUUCAUAACCUCCCUCCCCCGUUCCAACUUAAUCCGCUUUGGAUUAGGCUCAGAGGCCCGGUGGAACGUAAAUCAUAACGCGGAUGCACAGAAAACCGAGGCAGUAGGGGCGGGGGUUCGGUGCCGGUGCACAGAGAGCAGCUGGAUCUCCCCGAGCCCCGGAGUUCGGGCAGAGGCCGUGGCCAAGCUCCCCAGGGCGUCCGGCCCGUUAGAUGCAUCCUUCCUGCUGAAAAUGACUUCAUCCGUGGGGAAGAACGGCUGUUGUUCAUUAUGGAGCUGGAACAAUGACAGCACGGGUCUCUGGGAAACACUGGCCCUCCCUGCGGGGCACAGGAAACGGAACAUCAGCCUCCCUGCACGCCUGUGCCCUCCGAUUCUGGUAACACGGGCCAGACUGGCCGAGGUGAAAUGAGAAGGGCUGCAGGGCCCCUGUGCUGUGUC